AGGUAUAAUCAUGAGCUAGUUCAAAUCAGUUUUGGUUUCCAGUUUACAAUCCACAUGCAAAUUCCUGGUUAAGACGUAAAGAGCUAGAUGUUAUAUGGUUGCUGCAGUCCUCCAAUGAAGAAGGCCUGGAAUGGUAUGUCGUUGCUUCGCAUAUGUGUAAUGCGAGGAUUUGUUGAAUGGAUCUGCUUUAGUCUUGUGGCUGGUUCUUAUCAGUCAAGUGUUGAUGGCUAGACUGGGUUUGAUAUUCAAAUGCACACGAAAGAACAUCAAGCGAGUCAUACGUCCCUGCAAGUUGAUGUUAGAAUAUGAAAAUUAGUAAAGAAAU